AACAUCGUAAUGGGGACUGGAGGAAACUGACAGGUCCGGAACACCAGGAGAAACUGUGACAGCCGGGAACAGAUCACACACGUUUCUGUUCAUACCUGAGUAUCAUGAUGUAGGAGGGGGUCUGUGAGAAGGCGGCGAUGAAGGCGGUGAUGCCCAGCAGGGCCAUGAAGGGGGGCAGGAGGUGGGAACAUCCGCUGCCGCACGUUCCCGGAGACGCAAAGCCGAGACCACCGACACACCGACACUCAGUGUAGUUCUACAACAACAGACACAGUCAGGAUACAGGCAGAGACAGCGCCCCCAACAGAAGAAGUACCCAACCUUUUUCAUUAAGAGACCCCCUUUCUAUCAUUUAUUAAACUGACUCAGUGACA